rnacentral:rRNA from 1 species
AUACGUAGGGUGCGAGCGUUGUCCGGAAUUACUGGGCGUAAAGAGCUCGUAGGUGGUUUGUCGCGUCGUCUGUGAAAUUCCGGGGCUUAACUCCGGGCGUGCAGGCGAUACGGGCAUAACUUGAGUACUGUAGGGGAGACUGGAAUUCCUGGUGUAGCGGUGAAAUGCGCAGAUACCAGGAGGAACACCGGUGGCGAAGGCGGGUCUCGGGGCAGUAACUGACGCUGAGGAGCGAAAGCAUGGGUAGCGAACAGGAUUAGAUACCCUGGUAGUCCAUGCCGUAAACGGUGGGCGCUAGGUGUAGGGGUCUUCCACGACUUCUGUGCCGUAGCUAACGCAUUAAGCGCCCCGCCUGGGGAGUACGGCCGCAAGGCUAAAACUCAAAGGAAUUGACGGGG